rnacentral:lncRNA from 1 species
GGGCCUUUAUACUACACAUAGCCAAACUCCUUAUUGGUCAGGGUGUUCAUUAUUAUUCAGUCAUACCCAAUAUUAUGAUGAAUAGACUCGUACUUUUCCCUGCUGAUCAUUGCCAACAUUUCCUUUGAAAGCUUGCUCGCUCUCGUCCCCGACGAUCAGAAAGUAAGUGUUGCCAAAUUUCUCAUCUAGGCCCUGGUUUUUCUCAGUGGCACGGCUUCUCAUCGUGCCUUCGAAUGCAUAGCAAUUGAUGUUUGUAUUACAAUAAUCUCCUAUUUGACGAUCACUAUUUGGUAAAAAACAAUGUUUUGAGUAGUUAUUUUUAGGAGAAUGUUUGGGUAAAAAAGAUGGGAAAUGUUUUGGUUUUACAUACAGAAUAUUUUAUCAUGUGAAU